rnacentral:rRNA from 1 species
AACGAACGCUGGCGGCAUGCCUAACACAUGCAAGUCGAACGAGACCUUCGGGUCUAGUGGCGCACGGGUGCGUAACGCGUGGGAACCUGCCCUUGGGUUUGGAAUAACGUCGGGAAACUGACGCUAAUACCGGAUAAUGUCUUCGGACCAAAGAUUUAUCGCCAAAGGAUGGGCCCGCGUAGGAUUAGCUAGUUGGUGGGGUAACGGCUCACCAAGGCGACGAUCCUUAGCUGGUCUUAGAGGAUGAUCAGCCACACUGGGACUGAGACACGGCCCAGACUCCGACGGGAGGCAGCAGUGGGGGAUAUUUGACAAAGGGCGAAAGGCUGAUCCAGCAAUGCCGCGUGAGUGAUGAAGGCCUUAGGGUUGUAAAGCGCUUUUACUGGGGGUGAUAAUGACAGUACCCAGAGAAUAAGCCCCGGCUAACUCCGUGCCAGCCGCCGCAGUAA